ACCACCUACACCUACAUUUGAAGUUGCUUGUGGUCUUACACCUUUGGUCACACCUUGGGAGCCAUUGAAUCCCAGUCCUAAUAUGAAACUCAAUCUUGCACAUCCAGCUUUCCAGUAGAUUCUGUAAGACGAAAAAAAGAAAAUCACAAUAUCAAGAUGACAAAAUGAAAACCCAAAUAAAUAAAGAAAAGAAAAGGGGUCUUAGUCAUGCAGCCGGUCCAUUGAAUCGGUUGAUCCUGCAUGCGCACUGAGGGAGGGUACGAUAGGCCUGUCUGCGGAUGAAGACUCGUGAUCUUCGACCGAAUCAACAAACAGCUCAAGAUCUGAAAUGCCUUCAUAUCACCGGGCACAUUCAUCAGAUCACGUAACCGCAUUUCAUAUAAUGAAACUCAAUCUUCUUUCACACUAAAUUGAUCUGACCAAAUAUACAGAUUUCACACUAAUAAGACUCAGUGUUCUAUAGAUUUGCUCAAAUCAAUUUAUGAUUACCAAGAAAUCAAAUCCAAACCCAUAAACUGAUUAACCAAUCGGCCCAAUCUUUGACCGAAUCAACGAAAGGCUCAAGAUCCGAAACACCAGCACAUUCAUCAGAUUACGUAACUGCAAUUCAUAUAAUGAAACUCAAUCUUCCUUCACAUUAAAUUGAUCUGACCAAAUCUACAGAUUUCACACUAAUAAGAAUCAAUGUUCUACAGAUUUGCUCAAAUCAAUAUAAGAUUAACAAGAAAUCAAAUCCAAACCCAUAAACGAAUCCUCUAUUCGACCACCUACACCUACUUUUAAAGUUGCUGGUGGUCUUACACUGUCCAUCACAGCUUGGGAGCCAUUUGAUUCCUAGUCCUAAUAUGAAAUUCAAUCUGCACAUCCAACAUCCAGCUUUCCAGUAGAUUCUGUAAGAAGAAAAAAAGAAAAUCACAAUAUCGAGAUGACAAAAAGAAAACCCAAAUAAAUAGAGAAUAGAAAAGGGGUCUUAGCCAUGCAGCCUGUCACCGAGUAUGAUCCAUUGAAUCAGUUGAUCCUGCGUAGGUAGAGGCAAUAGCUGCACCGAGGGAGGGUCCGAUAGGCCAUCUGUCUGCAGAUGAAGACUAGUGGGUCCGAUCUUCGACCGAUUCAUCUGACGGCUCAAGAUCCGAAACGCCUUCGUAUCACCGGCACAUUCAUCAGAUCACGUAACCUCAUUUCAUAUAAUGAAACUCAAUCUUCUUUCACACUAUAUUGAUCUGACCAAAUAUACAGAUUUCACACUAGUAAGACUCAGUGUUCUAUAGAUUUGCUCAAAUCAAUUUAUGAUUACCAAGAAAUCAAAUCCAAACCCAUAAACUGAUCGACUAAUCGGCCCACUAUUUGACCGAAUCAACGAAACGCCGGCAUAUUCAUCAGAUUACGUAACUGCAAUUCAUUUAAUAAAACUCAAUCUUCUUUCACAAUAAAUUGAUCUGACCAAAUCUACAGAUUUCACACUAAUAGGAAUCAAUGUUCUACAGAUUUGCUCAAAUCAAUAUAAGAUUAACAAGAAAUCAAAUCCAAACCCAUAAACGGAUCCUCUAUUCGACCACCUACACCUAC
rnacentral:lncRNA from 1 species